GGAAUCUUCCACAAUGGACGAAAGUCUGAUGGAGCAACGCCGCGUGAGCGAAGAAGGUUUUCGGAUCGUAAAACUCUGUUGUCAGAGAAGGACGUGUGUGAGAGUAACUGUUCACGCAGUGACGGUAUCUGACUAGAAAGUCCCGGCUAACUACGUGCCAGCAGCCGCGGUAAUACGUAGGUGGCAAGCGUUGUCCGGAUUUAUUGGGCGUAAAGGGAACGCAGGCGGUCUUUUAAGUCUGAUGUGAAAGCCUUCGGCUUAACCGAAGUCGGGCAUUGGAAACUGGGAGACUUGAGUGCAGAAGAGGAGAGUGGAACUCCAUGUGUAGCGGUGAAAUGCGUAGAUAUAUGGAAGAACACCAGUGGCGAAAGCGGCUCUCUGGUCUGUAACUGACGCUGAGGUUCGAAAGCGUGGGUAGCAA
rnacentral:rRNA from 1 species